ensembl:snRNA U6 U6 spliceosomal RNA
GUGCUCACUUUGGCAGCACGUACACUAAACCUGGGACAAUACAGAGAAGAUUUGCAUCAUCCCUGUGGAGGAAUGACAGAGGUCAGAAAAGACUUCACUGAGAAAAAU